CGGAAACAAAACUUAUUACAAUUUCAAAGAAUAUUGAAACAAUGAUAUAUGGUGAUAGUAGAAUACAAUCAUGAAUCUACCAGAAAGACUAUCUCAAAAUAGUGUUUCUGUACUCAUUCACUGGUGAAAAUAUAAACAUAUUUGAUGAUCGGAUAAGAUUAAGAACACAGUUCUUCCUUGGAUCCUCAAAGAAUAGCCAACUUAUCUGAAAAAUCCUUGUAGCCAAAAAACCUUAAAUACAGUGAACUCCAAGGUUAAAGAAGCCUCUUGGGAAGUAGUAUUGAGGUAAAAAGGAGAGGCAAAACCAAGGUAUUAAUGAAAAGACCUGCAACAAAUGGAAAUGAGUAGAUACUCGUCAAUGGAAAUGCAUAGAUAUGCAUCCAAUAACCAGCAUAGAUAAGCUCAAGUUAUCAAGUUGAAAAAUUUUCUAGUGUACUAAAUUAAACUGUCAUAUAUUCAAUCUCUCCUUCAGAAGUCCCAAGAUGAUUUUCCUGACAAGACUCAAUUACUAGUUUUAAGGAAAUGUAUAAAUAAUUCUGUUCAUUCUGUCUUACUUCUGUGUUUCAUUUUUCUGCACGAAUAGCAGGAUAACAUCAUUAAAAUACAAACUGAUUUCACAGAUUUUAUAUUGGACAUCUGGGUCUUCAAUGAUUAAAGAGAUCAUAAAUGAAAGGUUUUGACAGUACUUGGUUUGCUUCGGUAGACUUUGAAGUUGUAAGAAUCCAUGUUGUGGUGAAUAGAAAUGAUUUUUGAGAGAAAAUCAAUUUAAAACAAACUGAACCUACAACUACCACUGUUUUGAAAGAUCAAACCUGAAAUACCAGUUCAUAGCAGUAUAGGAGCAUGGCACUUACCAUUUUGUGAGGAUGUUGCCGUAGGAAGAGAUGGAAGUUUUGUAGCUGCAAUUGCAUGAUUGAAGGAACAAAUGAAUUAGCCAUGGUACAGAAUGGAAAUAUGUCUUUGCUCAUGGUAAAAAUAUUACAAAAGACAAUCCAAUGUUGAAGACAGGAACAUGGGAUAUAGGUGAGGAUCUUGUUAGUCAAGGAUUCGUUGUUAUUAUUGUUUCUUUUUCUUUCAUUGAUAGCAUCUACCUAAUAAUUGCAUACUGUUAUAAUUCCCUUUUUAGCUUACAUAAAUAAGAAAUUACGUUAAUUUGCCAGCCAUUUAGAUGGUAAUUGAGCAUGCAUUAUUUAUGAAAGAGAAUACAAUGAAAGAAGGCACGCAUCGAGAAAUUCUGGACAUUUAUAUCAUUUGACUGUUGAAAAACAUAGAUGAAAAUGAACAUAGACAAGCCAUUUUGGAAGUUGGCAUGUGGGGCACAGCUUUUAAGUUGAUGGUGGCCUGAAUUCAAUUGGUUCUCCAAUGUUAAUGGUUUGAAACUAGUGUAGAGAACUGGUAUCAGUAUUAUAGAUCUAUUCAAACAACAAUAGUAUCGGGACAUGCUUCAAUUGGUCCCACUUUUCUUUGGCAAUUGAAAAAGAAAGCAGAUUGAUAAAUAUAAAAAAUCAAUUAACUUCUCAUGAAGCACUCAUGAAGCUUCUACCGGAAUUUGAAACCUCUCUUGAAGCACUCAUGAAGCUUGUACCAGAAUUUGAAACCAUUACCCUGCCUUACUGAAACAAUGUUUUUCUUGCAAACAACUAGGUCAUAUUACUUGCAAUUGCAACAGGAAAUGUUGUAACUAUUGUAAGCAACAUGGUCAUAUCAUCAAAGAGUGCCCAACUAUAUGCACCUAGAAACUAGUGAAGGGCCUUGAAUAUUGGAGCUUAAACUAUAUCCAACAAAUGGUACUAUCCACUCUUUCUACCUUGAGUAUUCAGGAUUGGACAUCAUGGAAAGUGAUUGCAAAGGGACAUAAGUAGACAGA
rnacentral:sRNA from 1 species